GUGUCGAUAAUGCUCCAAAAUUACCGUCAAUGAGUAAUUGCUAGUGGUAGCACUCCGAUUUCUUCUAGGAAGUGCUAUUUAGUAGAAACCUACCUAUAUGUUACUAGUUGAAUUAUAUAAUUUGCAGUUCAUAAAAGAAAUGUGUGUUUUCUAGCCUUUUUUCUCUCUUAUUUUCCAUUUAUUUGGCUUAUUUUUCCAACAUUUUUUAGGUUUGGAUUUUUUUCUUUAAUUUUAAUGGUAAGGAUUGAGUUUUCAAAAAUAUUUAUGUCCUUUUUUGUGUUUUUCAAAUGACAAAGGUUACUAAUUUUUUCCGAUAGUUAAAAGUGGUUCAGGAAAAAAAAAAAUCAAGACACUACAUGAAGCAUGCACUGAGCGAUUGAGUCCCCUCUUUUAUUAUGUUUUCUGAGAAUUUUUAAUACUACGUAAGACCAAAUAAAAAUAGUGUUUUGUAGGAAAAGAUCUAAAGAAAAUUUGAUGUAAGAGUCGAUCAAUUUAGUAUAAUUGGUUGUUACUUGAUGCUAUAUAUAUUGCAACAUUCCGCAAAAAAAAAUCAACUUUCACUACAAGAAAAGGCCAAAACAACGACGGCUUCACUGCGACGGCUCUAAAAACAGUUGUUAUUCUUGUAGUCAGCGACGGUUUAAAACAGUCGUUGCCACCGACGGCUUUUAUAGUGAUCAGCGACGGAUAAACCGUCGUUGUUUAUCAACGACCGUUUAGAACAGUCGUUAGUUUUAUUAUUUUAAUUUUUAGAUUUUUUUCAAUUUAAGCAACUGUGUUAAACGGUCGCUGAUGAGUGAUGACAAAACAAAGUUUCGUGUUCUUCAGAUCUGCUCUCUCUCUCCUCAUUCCUCCCUCUCCUUACUCAACCGGUCAACCCUAAUCCCUCAUCUCUCUCCUCUUCAGAUCUGCUCCUUCCUCCUCCCUCUCAAUCCAACAGAGCAACGAACGCUUAUUGAAGAGAUAGAGACUGAGGAGAGAGAAAGUGAAACGGAAAAAAAGAGAAUCCAAAAAAAGGGUUUCAACUCCAUCUCUAAGAAGGUAAGGGAUUUUGAUUUCAAGUUUUUAUUUUAUUUUUCAUCGUCUUUUUUUUAAUUUCUCGAGUUCUAGGGUUUCCAAUUUUCGAUUUUUUUGGGUACUGAUCUGAAAAUCUGUCACAUUGUCGGCGGAGAAAUCGUUCUUGAGUUGAAAUUGUAGUACGUUUUUGUUUUUUCACUAAUUUGAUUUUCUUGUUGCUAUUUUAUCAUGUUCCUUUAUGUUUAGUUUUGAUUUUUUUUUUUAGAAAUUUUUGAUUGUUUAUUUUUUCAGGGUUUAGGUGGGAAAUUCAUGAGUCCCUCGGCUGUGAAAAUGGAAGAAUCAAAGCCUGCAAUUUUGAACAGUGAGAACGGUUGUGAAAUCGAAGCUCGAUUCACUGAAAUCUGCAAUGUUCAAUGUCUUCUUAUCGACAGCACCACCUGACCAUCUCACCAAGUUGUACAUACACAAGCCCAUUAUUUAUCUGAUGAUGCAGCAAGCCAUCAAGGAAGGGAAGUUAGUCCCUGCUGCAAAACAUUUUUGUAAUUUAUGAGAGUUAGAAUAUGUGAAGAAAUGUGACUUUGAAGCUUUUGUUGUCACAACAUACUUAUGAUCUUUGUGGUCAUUUUCAAUCUUGCGUCUUCUGACUUUUAGGGAAUUUUUGUGUAAAUUAGUUAUUUAGUUUAUAAAGUACUUUGACCAAUACUGUGGAAUGGUAAAAAAAUUAUGUCUACAAUUUUGCUUUGUGAUAUUAAUUUGUUGUUGAAUUCUCUAA